CGGGGUGAGUAAUGUCUGGGAAACUGCCUGAUGGAGGGGGAUAACUACUGGAAGCGGUAGCUAAUACCGCAUAACGUCGCAAGACCAAAGAGGGGGACCUUAGGGCCUCUUGCCAUCGGAUGUGCCCAGAUGGGAUUAGCUAGUAGGUGGGGUAACGGCUCACCUAGGCGACGAUCCCUAGCUGGUCUGAGAGGAUGACCAGCCACACUGGAACUGAGACACGGUCCAG
rnacentral:rRNA from 1 species